GUCUCAGUGUAGCAUCAUGGUUUGAGUGUUAGACUAGGACUCUGGAGAGCAGGGUUCAAUUCUCUGCUCAGUCA